CUCCUAAGAUUCACCCCUGCAUGUUUUUGACAUUUGAAAAAUGGACUGCUCAGUAAUACUCACUUUAUUUUAWGUAAAUUUUUAAUUAACUACGUUAAAGUGUAGAUAAGAUGUUUACAGUAAGAGUGAGACCUAUCARCUAGUUGUUAAGGUAAUGGCUUAACAAGGCUGUGACGGGUAACGGUAUUACUUUGUAAUAUUCCGGAGAAGGAGCCUGAGAGACGGCUACUAAGUCUAAGGAUUGCAGCAGGGGCGAAACUUGACCUAUGGAUUUUAUYUGAGGCAGUUAUGGGAAGUAAUAUUAUAUUGUUUCAUAUUUUAAAAGUAUAUGAGGUGAUUAAUUGGAGGGCAAAUCAAGUGCCAGCAGCCGCGGUAAUACUUGUUCCAAGAGUGUGUAUGAUGAUUGAUGCAGUUAAAAAGUCCGUAGUUUAUUUUUUUAAAAAGCAAUAUGAGGUGUACUGUUAUUUUAGUGGG
rnacentral:rRNA from 1 species